AGUGAACGCUGGCGGUAGGCCUAACACAUGCAAGUCGAACGGCAGCACAGUAAGAGCUUGCUCUUACGGGUGGCGAGUGGCGGACGGGUGAGGAAUACAUCGGAAUCUACUUUUUCGUGGGGGAUAACGUAGGGAAACUUACGCUAAUACCGCAUACGACCUACGGGUGAAAGCAGGGGAUCUUCGGACCUUGCGCGACUGAAUGAGCCGAUGUCGGAUUAGCUAGUUGGCGGGGUAAAGGCACACCAAGGCGACGAUCCGUAGCUGGUCUGAGAGGAUGAUCAGCCACACUGGAACUGAGACACGGUCCAGACUCCUACGGGAGGCAGCAGUGGGGAAUAUUGGACAAUGGGCGCAAGCCUGAUCCAGCCAUACCGCGUGGGUGAAGAAGGCCUUCGGGUUGUAAAGCCCUUUUGUUGGGAAAGAAAAGCAGCAGGUUAAUACCCCGAUGUUCUGACGGUACCCAAAGAAUAAGCACCGGCUAACUUCGUG
rnacentral:rRNA from 1 species